CAUGGAGUUUGAUCCUGGCUCAGGAUGAACGCUAGCGGCAGGCUUAACACAUGCAAGUCGAGGGGUAUAGUUCUUCGGAGCUAGAGACCGGCGCACGGGUGCGUAACGCGUAUGCAAUCUACCUUUUACAGAGGGAUAGCCCAGAGAAAUUUGGAUUAAUACCUCAUAGUAUGUGAGAAUCGCAUGGUUUUCACAUUAAAGUUCCAACGGUAAAGAUGAGCAUGCGUCCCAUUAGCUAGAUGGUAAGGUAACGGCUUACCAUGGCUACGAUGGGUAGGGGUCCUGAGAGGGAGAUCCCCCACACUGGUACUGAGACACGGACCAGACUCCUACGGGAGCAGCAGUGAGGAAUAUUGGACAAUGGGGCGCAAGCCCUGAUCCCAGCCAUGCCGCGUGCAGGAUGACGGUCCUAUGGA
rnacentral:rRNA from 1 species